AUGGAGACCAGUGGUCAGUCACUACUUAUAAAAAGUAAAAAUGACAGUUUCAAAAGCUAGCAUUAUGAGUUUCUCUUACUAAGCCCCCACUGUCUACAGGCUGAAGGUAAUGGAAUCCAAGAGUGUCCUGAAUCAUGGCCAUAACUUCUAGCCAGCCAGUAUAAAUUUGGUAGUAAUCGUGGCUCUAAAUAAUGGAUUUCUGUGUUCCUAUUUCCAAUGGUAAUAUAAACUUACAAUUUAUACAUUUCUUCCCUUCUUCCUGGCAGAAGGAAUUUACCUUUUCUUGAAUUGACCUGAACUACACAAAGCUGACACAAAUUACUAUCUAAAACAAACUUUCAUUAAUGCUGGAUCAUUUCAGAGACCACAAAUUAUGCAGUAUUUUCCCAUUUCCUUUGUUUUUUCCAUGAUCAGUGAUUCUAACACUUUAGUUUGGUCACAGUUUGAUAGGGCACCUAAGUCAGCAGAAUGAAUGCCUUUGUGUCUACAGCAUAGACAAAAGGGCCUCAUCCAGUACAAAUCCCAAGUUGAGUAAGAAGGAGCCUGUUCUGUGGGCUCAUAAACUCAUGUUGCCUCAGCACCUAGAGUUAUUUACUCCUUAUACCUCCAUACAGGUCUAAACUGCUUUCAACUCCAACCCCCAGCUUUCACGUUCCAUUCAAAAGUUAACAAAAAAAUCUAACACUUGCUAGUCAGACUUACAAGCUGGGGUUUUCUUAGUAGCAUUUUAUUUGAAUAAGAUUACUUUUUAGUCAAUGUACAUACACAUAUCAAAUAGCACCAAAGGGCUCCAAAGAAAGACAGCAAUCUCUUGCCCCAUCCCUACCAAUCCCACAGUCCUACUCCCCAGAGUCAGCCACAAUCAACUCUUCUAGCUUUAUUUUCUGUAUUUACUUCAAUUUUUGUAAAAAAAAAAAAAAAAAAGAAAAAGAAAAAGAACCUUAUAUUGCUAUUUUCUGAUUUAUCAAUUUUUAGACUUAUCCACACCCAUCCACUUCCCCUCACUCCAUCCUCCCCAUAUAGUUACAUGUGAACUCCUGGUUAUGUCAAUACAACACUGGAUUUUGGGAUUUUGGAAGACAAUGGUGCAAUGGUUUCAGAAGGAAAAUCAUUUUCAACUAGAAUAGACAGCCAAAAUCUCAGUCAAGUGUGAGUGGAAGAAAUCCAUUUUCAGAAAUAUAAAGACUGAAAACAUGCACCUCCCUUUCUUUAAUGUGCUUCCACAAAAGAAAGGAUUGAAACAAGCAGAGAAAGGCAUGGGAUCUCAGGAAUACGGGCAUCAACACGAGAAGAGGGUGAAGAAAAAUCUCAGGAUGACAGCUGUGCAACAAGCACUUGUUAGGUGGCCCUUUUAUUCUGCCCACUUCUGGCCUCCGUUCUGUUUUCUUUAUUCUCUUAACCAGAGACUCUCACUAAUCAGCCCCUGCCAGGAGGACCUUGGAGGCCACAUGCUCCAGAUGGCAUACCUACAAGACAGAGGAGAGCCAUCAACCAUAUUGGACUUCAUAGUCAACACAGUGCCUUACACAGUGCCCAAUAAACAUCCACUACUGAG